CCAGGCAUGCCAAGAAUUUACUGAUUUUCAAAAACUUUCAUUUUAGAAAUUGUGAACUUCAGUUUUAGGAAUCUUUUUUAAUCAGAAAUAUUUAAGUAACGAUGAAAAUAAACUAGAAAUUUUUGGUUUAUUUGUAAAUUUAGUUUGAAAAUUCUCGAUCGAACUGAGAAUAAAUAUGGAACGCUGUUCAUAGUUCAAAUGAUCUGACGGAGCUUCAAGUCUCUUUUUUUAGAUUUGUGUGCACGUUUUUACUAGACGACAUUUAGAAUUCAGGCUUGAAAAGUAUGGAAAACAGUUAACAAACAGAAAACAGGCCAACAUUUGGAGAGAAAUGCUCAGAAACUCGACCCAUACAAAGUCGGCGCUAAAAAUUUGAACGAGUUGGAAAAUGUUUUGAGCCUUAUUCACAAUGAAAUCGUUUUCAUUUAGCCGUGCAUUCAAAGCUUUCUUAAUCAGACUGGACCUUUUUCUAGACGAAUAUAUCAGACCGUUCAUGAAGAAAAUUAUAAAGAAAUACUUGUAAUUUUAUAAAACA